UCGGGAAUUUUGGGCAAUGGGCGAAAGCCUGACCCAGCAACGCCGCGUGAGGGAUGAAGUAUUUCGGUAUGUAAACCUCGAAAGAAUGGGAAGAAUAAAUGACGGUACCAUUUAUAAGGUCCGGCUAACUACGUGCCAGCAGCCGCGGUAAUACGUAGGGACCAAGCGUUGUUCGGAUUUACUGGGCGUAAAGGGCGCGUAGGCGGCAAUUCAAGUCAGCUGUGAAAUCUCUGGGCUUAACCCGGAACGGCCAGCUGAUACUGCUUUGCUAGAGUGCGGAAGGGGCAAUCGGAAUUCUUGGUGUAGCGGUAAAAUGCGUAGAUAUCAAGAGGAACACCUGAGGUGAAGACGGGUUGCUGGGCCGACACUGACGCUGAGGCGCGAAAGCCAGGGGAGCAAACG
rnacentral:rRNA from 1 species